rnacentral:lncRNA from 15 species
GCAUGCCAGGUAACACAAGGGCCAUGUGCUGAAAAAGGGAGGGAGGGAGGAAGGGAGGGAGGUCAGACAGGUGAGGUGAAGGAAGGAUCAAAAAGACAGCAGGAGAAGAGCAGAUGCUGUUGGAGAGAAAGGUGAAAUGUAGGCUGAAAUGAGACAAUAUCACCAUUAAUAAUGAGUUAUCUGUGAGGGCUUCCUGAUCAAACCUAAAGUCGCUGGUUACCUCGACUUGUGAGAGACUUCUGGCUUUUUAAACUCUGUUUUAGAGUAAAGAUGUUGGCCAGAGAUGCUAUCAGGAGGAAAAUAAAGCGCUGCCUGAGAAAAGUCACCCUGUUCCACGCUCACUGCGAGGGUCACCACGAAAGGUUUACAGUUCACCCACCGUGUCCAGACUUGUCACAGUUUCCAUGUUUGAGCCGCAGUGUCGACCAGUUGCUGCUCUCUUUCUGUGUCUCUCUGCCGUGUCAGAGGAGCCUUGGCCCCCGAACUCAUUCUCCAGUCCCCUCACCACCUCCUCCUCCACCCUGGGGAACGUUUUCUGUGAGCGAUGAAGAAACUAAUAAACAGACUCUCGCAGUGAUCCAUGUCACAUUGUUUGGCCCACCUGCAACCUGUAAACUCCUCACCAUGGACUGGAUGUUCUCAAUUUGUUCCACGAGGAGGCCCUGGCUUAUAUUAGCCUAAAGGGGGCACUGGAAGAGCAUCUGGUCCGAGCGGCAUGCAGUAAAUACAGCAGCACGCUCGCUGGCUCUGGGUUCAGUUUCAAGUCAAUUAACGAGUCCCAGAAAAAAAACCACAAGACGGGGAGCAGAACUUAUGUCACAGAGCGGGGCAGAUCAGGGCACAAUGAAGGUUUUAAGUGCUCGAACAUUUCGAGGGCUGGAGUGAAAAGCAAAAAGGAGUUCUUGGUGUAGUCAUUUCCAAGAAGUGGGGCCCUUAGUUCAUCAGACGAACAGAAAUAAACAGUUAAAAAAAUCUCUGUGCUAUUGCUUGGAGAGCACUGAG